UACGAAGGGGGCUAGCGUUGCUCGGAAACACUGGGCGUAAAGGGUGCGUAGGCGGGUCUUUAAGUCAGGGGUGAAAUCCUGGAGCUCAACUCCAGAACUGCCUUUGAUACUGAAGAUCUUGAGUUCGGGAGAGGUGAGUGGAACUGCGAGUGUAGAGGUGAAAUUCGUAGAUAUUCGCAAGAACACCAGUGGCGAAGGCGGCUCACUGGCCCGAUACUGACGCUGAGGCACGAAAGCGUGGGGAGCAAACAGG
rnacentral:rRNA from 1 species